AUAAAAUAAUCGUUAAAUAUUUAACUGCAAAGUAGUAAUUCCUUUUUGAUACAUUCACUUUUUUGCAUUAAAUCAUAUUGGGAUGUUUGCUGAAACUGAUUGGACGUGGCACAGCCCUACCUAGAAAAUUUUCCACCAGCCACCACUGGCAUCACCAGUUCUUAAUGGGGUUUUUUUCCUGUCAACCAAUCAGAGAGCAAGGCAAGAUUUUUUAUUUUUUUUUUUUUAAACUUGAGAGCAGAAACGAUGAAAAAUCACAGAUGUUGUCUAUUUUCUAUUUGUCUUGGGUAAUGGAGUGUGUCAAAGUGCACAUUAACGUGACACACAAACCUGCCAUGAUUCUUUAUUCUGUUAAAGUAACAGGCUCAAUCUAUAACAUAAACGCCAGUGCUCGCUGCAUCCAGAGAACAUCUGAAUAUAAUAAGACUGAGCUUAUAAAAUGCGCCGUGUUCGACAGCGUCAAAUGAUGCAACUUUAUGUGAGUUUUGCACACACACUUGCUUUUUGAUUGGAGAAUAUUGAGGCGUUAGAGCCAAGUCAUUCCUGCAACCAACAGAAAAAGAUUCGUUUGCAUGUCGUCGAGGUUAGCGCCCAGCACCAGAAGCUAACUCUCAAGCUAGCAAAUUGCUAUCUAGCGAGCUAGAAAACUUGCCAGCUAAAACAAAAACACACAUUUACAACAUCUACUGAAACUGUAUCACAACUGACAGCAAACUACACCACAGGUCAUUAGCAUUGCAACUUUCAUUUUGCCAGAAAAUAAUUGUAUCAAACAGAGUUAGCUAAAACAGCUUCCUUUGUCGAAUCUGCAUUGCAACUGUGCGCUCAGAGGUAACCACAGUAAAGACAAUUUGCUACAGCUUGAAAGGGGAAAUAGAAACAAGAACUUGUUGCAGAUUUAUUGUGUUGCCACAAAACAAAUCCAAAAAUUGCUAUGGUUUCAGUCAAAUCAAAUGAAUAAAGUUUGAUACAAAAUUGUAUUUGUCAUACAUGCUAGUUUGACAUGAGACGUGUGUUACAACUGACCCCGCUCUCCCCUAUAAACCAUGCCUUUGAAUGUUUUCCCUGGUUCUCAACAGCAGAAAGGUGAGUAACAGUCACUUUACUGUCUUCUCUUCCAAACUCACCUACUAGACAUGACAACUGAAAGAAAGAAAUAUAGAAAGGAAGGAAGAAAACAAAAAUAAAAAAAAAAACAAACAGCUAAAGACUCUAAACCCCUCUGGUGUCAUUAAGAAAUCCCUUUAAAAGAAACAGAAAAUGACGGAAAGGAGACAAGACAAGGGGUCGUUUGAAUCCUUCUCCUCCUCGUUUCUCCAAAGACUGCCUGCCUGCUAUCCGUUCUCGAGAAAGGAAUCAAGGAGUGUGUCUCAAAGGACGUCACAGAGAAAGAGCCUACAGAGAUCUGGCAAGCCAACAAAACAACGUGCAGAGGAUUCGACAGAAUCAGAUGGAGUGAAGGAAACAAGGAAACACAAACUGCCAGAGAAAAUAUAUUAUGUGAAGUGUGGUAAUUCAAAGAAGGAUUUCCAGCAGGAGAGCAGAGUAUUCAACCGCCGCCCUUCCGAUUGGUGGACGACCCGCUCUACCACUAAGCCACAGUCGCCUCCAUGAGGCAGAAAGAUGGAGCUUUGGGCAACGACUGCAGGGUGAAAUGAUUCACCUCCAAUCACCACAUUAGUUUUAAACAUUUAAACAAAACUGAAUUAGUCUACGUGUGACAUCACUAGAUGUGUAAAUGGAUUUGUUUAAAUAAACUUUUCUGUUAUGUGUCAGGUCAAGCUGACCCAUUUAACAGUUUAGAAAUACCAGCAUAAAACUGUUUUUGGUUUAAUUGUGGAGAUGGGAUAUGACUCAUGAUGUGUCAUUUGUAACUUUGCACUACAUGUUUAUAUUCUACAGAUACUGUUUAAGGCAGUGAGAAUAGAAGUUUAAAAUAUCAAAAUUACACAAAAACAGAGGUUUUCACUUAAAUCAGAGGUCAAAUAUCAUCCUAUCUCUGAACCCUGCAAGCUGUAUAUACUGUAUAUAGACAUAUAUACAUGCAUACUGUACAUAACCACCCACUUAAAAUGAACUAUUUUAUUACCCAUUCAAUAUUUAUUCCUCUGCACUAUUUGUAUUUGUUUACAAUUUACAGAAACACUUGACUUGUAUAUGUUGUUGGCCAUUGUUGCCUUUUAUGUGUAUUUAUAUAUAUACACCAAUUAUUUCAGCUAUUUUUUAUGUAGAUACUAGUGCUAUGCUUAUGUUUACCCAUCUUUGUUCAGCUUUGUUGUCCUUUUAGCUUGUUCUG